rnacentral:rRNA from 1 species
CCAAUAGCGUAUAUUAAAGUUGUUGCAGUUAAAAAGCUCGUAGUUGAACUUCGGGGUUUACUCAUUGGUCAGGCUUAAUUGUCUGUACUGGUGAGAUGAAUCUCUACCUUCUGAGGAACUUUCAUGCCAUUUAUUUGGUGUGAUGGGAAAUCAGGACUGUUACUUUGAAAAAAUUAGAGUGUUUAAAGCAGGCUAACGUCUGAAUACAUUAGCAUGGAAUAAUGAAAUAGGACGGACUGAUUCUAUUUCGUUGGUUUCUAGGAUCACCGUAAUGAUUAAUAGGGAUAGUUGGGGGCAUUAGUAUUCAAUUGUCAGAGGUGAAAUUCUUGGAUUUAUUGAAGACUGACUACUGCGAAAGCAUUUGCCAAGGAUGUUUUCAUUAAUCAAGAACGAAAGUUAGGGGAUCGAAGACGAUCAGAUACCGUCGUAGUCUUAACCAUAAACUAUGCCGACUAGGGAUCGGGCGAAGUUAAUUUUAUAAUGACGCGUUCGGCACCUUACG